rnacentral:rRNA from 1 species
GAUGAACGCUGGCGGCGUGCCUAAUACAUGCAAGUCGAGCGAACGGACGAGAAGCUUGCUUCUCUGAUGUUAGCGGCGGACGGGUGAGUAACACGUGGAUAACCUACCUAUAAGACUGGGAUAACUUCGGGAAACCGGAGCUAAUACCGGAUGAUAUUUUGAACCGCAUGGUUCAAAAGUGAAAGACGGUCUUGCUGUCACUUAUAGAUGGAUCCGCGCUGCAUUAGCUAGUUGGUAAGGUAACGGCUUACCAAGGCAACGAUGCAUAGCCGACCUGAGAGGGUGAUCGGCCACACUGGAACUGAGACACGGUCCAGACUCCUACGGGAGGCAGCAGUAGGGAAUCUUCCGCAAUGGGCGAAAGCCUGACGGAGCAACGCCGCGUGAGUGAUGAAGGUCUUCGGAUCGUAAAACUCUGUUAUUAGGGAAGAACAUAUGUGUAAGUAACUGUGCACAUCUUGACGGUACCUAAUCAGAAAGCCACGGCUAACUACGUGCCAGCAGCCGCGGUAAUACGUAGGUGGCAAGCGUUAUCCGGAAUUAUUGGGCGUAAAGCGCGCGUAGGCGGUUUUUUAAGUCUGAUGUGAAAGCCCACGGCUCAACCGUGGAGGGUCAUUGGAAACUGGAAAACUUGAGUGCAGAAGAGGAAAGUGGAAUUCCAUGUGUAGCGGUGAAAUGCGCAGAGAUAUGGAGGAACACCAGUGGCGAAGGCGACUUUCUGGUCUGUAACUGACGCUGAUGUGCGAAAGCGUGGGGAUCAAACGGGAUUAGAUACCCUGGUAGUCCACGCCGUAAACGAUGAGUGCUAAGUGUUAGGGGGUUUCCGCCCCUUAGUGCUGCAGCUAACGCAUUAAGCACUCCGCCUGGGGAGUACGACCGCAAGGUUGAAACUCAAAGGAAUUGACGGGGAUCCGCACAAGCGGUGGAGCAUGUGGUUUAAUUCGAAGCAACGCGAAGAACCUUACCAAAUCUUGACAUCCUUUGACAACUCUAGAGAUAGAGCCUUCCCCUUCGGGGGACAAAGUGACAGGUGGUGCAUGGUUGUCGUCAGCUCGUGUCGUGAGAUGUUGGGUUAAGUCCCGCAACGAGCGCAACCCUUAAGCUUAGUUGCCAUCAUUAAGUUGGGCACUCUAAGUUGACUGCCGGUGACAAACCGGAGGAAGGUGGGGAUGACGUCAAAUCAUCAUGCCCCUUAUGAUUUGGGCUACACACGUGCUACAAUGGACAAUACAAAGGGCAGCGAAACCGCGAGGUCAAGCAAAUCCCAUAAAGUUGUUCUCAGUUCGGAUUGUAGUCUGCAACUCGACUACAUGAAGCUGGAAUCGCUAGUAAUCGUAGAUCAGCAUGCUACGGUGAAUACGUUCCCGGGUCU